UCCGACUUAACGUCGGCAGUCCCGUCAGAGUGCCCAGCUUUCCUGUUGGCAACUGACAGCAGGGGUUGCGCUCGUUGCGGGACUUAACCCAACAUCUCACGGCACGAGCUGACGACAGCCAUGCAGCACCUGUGCUGGGCCCUUACGGACACGAGCUUUCACCCGCUUUACCCAGCAUGUCAAGCCCAGGUAAGGUUCUUCGCGUUGCAUCGAAUUAAGCCACAUGCUCCGCCGCUUGUGCGGGUCCCCGUCAAUUCCUUUGAGUUUUAGCCUUGCGGCCGUACUCCCCAGGCGGGGUGCUUAAUGCGUUGGCUUCGGCACGGAAGGGGUCGAUAUCCCCCCACACCUAGCACCCAUCGUUUACGGCUGGGACUAC
rnacentral:misc_RNA from 1 species